rnacentral:rRNA from 1 species
UACGGAGGGGGCUAGCGUUGUUCGGAAUUACUGGGCGUAAAGCGCACGUAGGCGGCUUUGUAAGUUAGAGGUGAAAGCCCGGGGCUCAACCCCGGAACUGCCCUUAAGACUGCAUCGCUUGAAUCCAGGAGAGGUGAGUGGAAUUCCGAGUGUAGAGGUGAAAUUCGUAGAUAUUCGGAAGAACACCAGUGGCGAAGGCGGCUCACUGGCCUGGUAUUGACGCUGAGGUGCGAAAGCGUGGGGAGCAAACAGG